AUGAACGCUGGCGGCGUGCCUAAUCCAUGCAAGUCGAGCGAACAGACGAGGAGCUUGCUCCUCUGACGUUAGCGGCGGACGGGUGAGUAACACGUGGAUAACCUACCUAUAAGACUGGGAUAACUUCGGGAAACCGGAGCUAAUACCGGAUAAUAUAUUGAACCGUAUGGUUCAAUAGUGAAAGACCGUUUUGCUGUCACUUAUAGAUGGAUCCGCGCCGCAUUAGCUAGUUGGUAAGGUAACGGCUUACCAAGGCGACGAUGCGUAGCCGACCUGAGAGGGUGAUCGGCCACACUGGAACUGAGACACGGUCCAGACUCCUACGGGAGGCAGCAGUAGGGAAUCUUCCGCAAUGGGCGAAAGCCUGACGGAGCAACGCCGCGUGAGUGAUGAAGGUCUUCGGAUCGUAAAACUCUGUUAUUAGGGAAGAACAAAUGUGUAAGUAACUAUGCACGUCUUGACGGUACCUAAUCAGAAAGCCACGGCUAACUACGUG
rnacentral:rRNA from 1 species